rnacentral:rRNA from 1 species
GGGGAAUUUUUCCGCAAUGGGCGAAAGCCUGACGGAGCAAGACCGCGUGCGGGAGGAAGGUCUAUUGACUGUAAACCGCUUUUGAUAGGGAAGAAGAUCUGACGGUACCUAUCGAAUCAGCAUCGGCUAACUCCGUGCCAGCAGCCGCGGUAAUACGGGGGAUGCAAGCGUUAUCCGGAAUUAUUGGGCGUAAAGCGUCCGUAGGUGGUUUUAUAAGUCUGUUGUCAAAUCGCGAGGCUUAACCUCGUACAGGCAGUGGAAACUAUAAGACUAGAGUGCGGUAGGGGUAGAGGGAAUUUCCAGUGUAGCGGUGAAAUGCGUAGAUAUUGGAAAGAACACCGGUGGCGAAGGCGCUCUACUGGGCCUGCACUGACACUGAGGGACGAAAGCUAGGGGAGCGAAAGGGAUUAGAUAC